rnacentral:sRNA from 1 species
CGUCGGCCUGAGGAGGGGCCGCUUCGCCAUGUCGCCCCGCACCUGCUGAGCCCGGAGCGUCCGAGGAUGUCCGCGCUGAGGAAGGCUUCCUCGCCAUCCGAGGCUUGGCCCUAGCCCUGCGCGGCUUCCCUUGCGGCUGCGAACCCUCUGCCUGCGCCCAGCCCAGCCACAAUGGGGACUGCUCAGGUUUUGCCUGGCAUUCUGCAGAAGCAUUGCUGUAUCUUACCAGACAGGAAUACAGGCAAUGCCAUGAGGCGUCAGAGGGAAUUCCAUUGGUUACUUUCCCAUACGGUCUUGUUCAGCUGCUUGUUCUCAGAAAAGUGUGUUUGUUGGUGGAGGAGAAUGUGACCAGGGAGACCAUCCUUUUCAUGAAGGCACAAACGUGAAUGCGUAUGUGGCUUUUAAGCCUUUAAAUAAAAACCCAAAACACA